UUAAAUUGAAGAGUUUGAUCAUGGCUCAGAUUGAACGCUGGCGGCAGGCCUAACACAUGCAAGUCGAACGGUAACAGGAAGCAGCUUGGCUGCUUUGCUG
rnacentral:rRNA from 1 species